GCCCUUCUUUGGGAUUGGAGUGAAAACUGAUCUUUUCCAGUCCUGUGGUGACUCCUGGGUUUUCCAAAUUUGCUGGUGUAUUGAAUGCAACACUUCAGUAGCAUUAUCUUUUAGGAUUUGAAAUAGCUCAGCUGUUACUCUAUCACCUCCACUAACUUUGUUCAUAGUGAUGCUUCCUACGGCCAACUUGACUUCACACUCCAGGAUAUCUGGCUCUGGGUGAGUGUUCACAUCAUCAUGGUUAUCCAGGCUAUUAAGACCUUUUUGUAUAGUUCUUUUGUGUGUUCUUGACAGCUCUUCUUAAUAUCUUCUGCUUCUGUUAGGUACAUGGUGUUUCUGUCCUUUAUUGUGCCCAUCUGUGCAUGAAAUAGUCCCCUUGUAUCUCUAAUAUUUUUAAAGAGAUCUCUAGUCUUUCUCAUUCUUUUGUUUUCCUCCAUUUCUUUGCAUUGUUCACUUAAAAAGGCUUUCUUAUCUCCUUGCUAGUCUUUGGAAUGCUGUAUUCAGAUGCAUAUAUCUUUCCUUUUCUCCUUUGCCUUUAGCUUCUGUUCUUUUCUCAGCUNNNNNNNNNNNNNNNNNNNNNNNNNNNNNNNNNNNNNNNNNNNNNNNNNNNNCUUGGGGAUGGUUUUUGGAAGUUCCCUAAGAGAAAUCAAAGCCUAGGACUACUGUAUUUACUUUUUACCCUCUAACUCAUCACCCAUUUUACUCUUUUCCCACUUUGCGAAACUCUCUCCCUAGCUUUUAUUUGGAUAAUUGUCUCUUCUCUCUCAUUCAUAUAGCUUCUGGGUGGGACUGUCAAUAAGUUGUCUUGCUCUUCCUAGUCAAAGGGUCAGUGAAUGACCCAAAUAAAAGCAACUGGAUUGAUUCUCACUUGGGGACUUUAAAUACUGAGUUAAGUGAUUCUAACACCAAAAGAUGAUCAGAACUUCUGCUUUGCUAUGUUGUCACCCUAAUUGCGGAUUAGAUCCUGCUGAUUGGAUCCCUGCUUCCUGUUUUUCUUCUAAGAUUGGCUAUUUAGUAGUUGCUUUACUUCUUCCACUGACCCUAUAUACUCCCCAUAAAGCUGUUUUGCUCAAGAUAGGCAGAGACAGUUCUAUUCUUAGUCAAGAAAAUAAAACAAAGACCCAACAGAUAUAGAAAUUAUAUUAUACAAAUUCUUGACUCUAUAGAUUUUAGCUUGUAUGAUCCUCUGGACACAGUUUCUCUGUUAUACUGAUCUUGGGCUGCCAAAAAAUGAAUGGGCAGGAAUAGUGGCUCAGUGCCUUGUUUAUUUCAGGCAGAAUUAACAGAGUGGAUUGUAAUGGAAAUGGAGUAAUAUAUGUUCAUGGUUGUUCAGUUUGGUCUGGAUUCUGGAGACAGCUCUUCCAGGUGAAGUUUAAUUAACAACUGCUCAAAAUCAAUCCAACUUUGAC
rnacentral:lncRNA from 1 species